GGGCCCCUAUCAUUUGACUUAAAAAAUUUGCUAUAAUGAGGUUGUAUAUACUUCAGGUCUAGCUUGUUCCUCUUCUGACUUUUCAUCACCACUAAUCUUAAUUUUAUUUCUUUUCCCAUUCCCGUACAUAAGGAUCCCAUUAAACAGAUAACUGGAAGAUAAUAGGAGGAGAUGAUAAAGUGGUUACUUUCAAUACCGCUUGACCACUUAAGAGUAUUUAACCAGUAACUGCAUGGAAAGCUUCAAGGAGCUUUUUAGAAACAAGAUGCCACCUGCUCAGAGAGCUCUCUUUGACCACAUUGCCCUGUAUUUACUUAGUGACACGGAGGCAUCUGACAUUUUCAGUUAUAAAUGACAGAAACGCAGCUCAGGCCAGCUUCUGCACAACGUGGGCCUUUGCUGGUUUACGAAGAUAUGAGGGACUGGUGGGGCAAGGCUGGCAUCCAGCGACUCCUCCGUUGGAUGCCAUCAGACUCGCUCCCAAGUUGAGCAGGGGUGUGGUCAUCUGCGUAAGGGACAAAGCUGGGACCUUCCUCUCAGAGGAAGCCAAAAAAACCCAUCCUAGCAAGCCUGUCUGACUUUCUACUUCCUAAAAGAGAAGCUCUCUUCGAAGAUUAGCCAGAAAAAUGGGCUCCCUCCCUCUCCUUGGAGAUCAGCACCCGAGAAAUGCAGCAGGCGGCUGGGCUGCAGGACUUACGGCAUUCGGGCAGCAUGCACUUCUCCACCUGCUCCAGCUCCUCGUUACAGUCCCCGAGUUCCGCCAGAGACUUGAGCAUCCGCUGGCGGGUCCGCAUGCCCUUCCCGCAGGUCACGCUGCAGUCACUCCACUCGGACCACGGGGAUAGCAAGCAGGGGAUGGUGUCUAGGCCAAGAGCCAGGUUUGCCACUGAGAACAGGCUCCCUUUACUUUCUUUGAUUUCCCUGUGUCCCCUACCCUCUGUUCCCCACUCUGACCCCUGGAGUUGAGUGCCAUGGACCGACGGCCUUCAGGUGACCCAAGUGACCCUGUGGAGCAAGAAGUGGCUCAGCAGACUACUGCCCUUCCUGCCCUUCUGUCACUCUCCUGCAUCUCCCCCCCCCCCCCCCCCCCCCCCCGCUGAUGAUGUAGCUCAGCAAUAGGAAUACACAAGUCCCCGCCUGCAACACCCCACACUCCCCCAAGACCAUGCAGUACAUUUUUGGACACUUUGUUGCUAAAAUCCCUAGGGUGACCUCUACUCGUGUGCAUGUGUGCGCAUGUGUACUAAUGUGUGGGUCUGCAUUUGUGGGUAGAGCUGGGGUUGUAAUGCUUUAUGGGGCCAGGCAUGUCCAGAGCAGAACAAGAGUGGGGGCCUAUGACCUGGGGUGGAUGUCCUGCCUGAAUGUAUUACAAUAUCACCCGCCUCCCACCAGGAUACUCUGGGGUCCUAUAAAACACAGCUGCUGACGAGUGCUUUCCAGAGGUCGCCAGUUUGCCAUCCCAGCCUCGCUCAGAAUGUCCCUCAAGGGAAGCCCCACUUGAUGGCUCUUGCAAGGACAGUGGGCCGUAUGUUCUCCCAGCACGCGCCCAGCCUCCGGCCUUGCUGGUGGUAGCGGCAGGGGUUCUGUGUUCCGGCACACCGCCCCCAUCCCCUGCCCCACGGCCACUCACGACACUCGGGCAUCAUGCACUUCUCCGCCUGGGAGGUCUCGGCUUUGCACGCGGAGCCGUCCGCCGGGCUCAUCUUGACCA